GACAGAGGGUGCAAACGUUGUUCGGAAUUACUGGGCGUAAAGCGCGUGUAGGCGGCCGGAUAAGUCGGGUGUGAAAUCCCAUGGCUCAACCAUGGAAGUGCACCCGAAACUGCCCGGCUAGAGUCCCGGAGAGGAAGGCGGAAUGCUCGGUGUAGAGGUGAAAUUCGUAGAUAUCGAGCAGAACACCAGUGGCGAAGGCGGCCUUCUGGACGAGGACUGACGCUGAGACGCGAAAGCGUGGGGAGCAAACAGG
rnacentral:rRNA from 1 species